CACCCUCUUAUUGCUUCCUUCCAGAGGUAAUGAGGCGUCAAUAAUCUUGUGAAGACCCCUGAGAACUACAGACCUACCUGUAAAUAACAGGGGCUCAAGCAUGACAUAAAAACUGAUCUUCACCUCCUAAAAAUUGCCAGAGAAAUACCCACCUUUACACAGGAUGAGCUUGCUGCGUGGGUCAGAAGGGCUAAGUAUGCAGGCCUUUCUCCUCUGUUUGCUGCAAAGAGAGCUGGUAGCCACUAGAGGGGAGGAGACUGCCGGCUUUCCUGAGUGCUUCACGCUACAGCUUGAAGGUGCAGAAGCUGUCACAAGACUGGUUGCCCAACGAAAUGGUUUUUAAAAUUUUAUGAAGCCUGUCUCCCGUAAACAAAAUGCACUUAACCU
rnacentral:lncRNA from 1 species